GGUUAAGCGACCAAGCGUACACGGUGGAUGCCCUGGCAGUCAGAGGCGAUGAAGGACGUGCUAAUCUGCGAAAAGCGCCGGCGAGGUGAUAUGAACCCUUGACCCGGCGAUGUCCGAAUGGGGAAACCCAGUGUGACUCGUCACACUAUCAUUAACUGAAUCCAUAGGUUAAUGAGGCGAACCGGGGGAACUGAAACAUCUAAGUACCCCGAGGAAAAGAAAUCAACCGAGAUUCCCCCAGUAGCGGCGAGCGAACGGGGAGGAGCCCAGAGCCUGAAUCAGCAGGUGUGUUAGUGGAAGUGUCUGGAAAGGCACGCGAUACAGGGUGAGAGCCCCGUACACGAAAAUGCACCUGCUGUGAGCUCGAUGAGUAGGGCGGGACACGUGGUAUCCUGUCUGAAUAUGGGGGGACCAUCCUCCAAGGCUAAAUACUCCUGACUGACCGAUAGUGAACCAGUACCGUGAGGGAAAGGCGAAAAGAACCCCGGCGAGGGGAGUGAAAAAGAACCUGAAACCGUGUACGUACAAGCAGUGGGAGCACCCUUUGGGGUGUGACUGCGUACCUUUUGUAUAAUGGGUCAGCGACUUAUAUUCUGUAGCAAGGUUAACCGUAUAGGGGAGCCGGAGGGAAACCGAGUCUUAAUUGGGCGUUAAGUUGCAGGGUAUAGACCCGAAACCCGGUGAUCUAGCCAUGGGCAGGUUGAAGGUUGGGUAACACUAACUGGAGGACCGAACCGACUAAUGUUGAAAAAUUAGCGGAUGACCUGUGGCUGGGGGUGAAAGGCCAAUCAAACCGGGAGAUAGCUGGUUCUCCCCGAAAGCUAUUUAGGUAGCGCCUCGUGAAUUCAUCUCCGGGGGUAGAGCACUGUUUCGGCUAGGGGGCCAUCCCGGCUUACCAACCCGAUGCAAACUGCGAAUACCGGAGAAUGUUAUCACGGGAGACACACGGCGGGUGCUAACGUCCGUCGUGAAGAGGGAAACAACCCAGACCGCCAGCUAAGGUCCCAAAGUCAUGGUUAAGUGGGAAACGAUGUGGGAAGGCCCAGACAGCCAGGAUGUUGGCUUAGAAGCAGCCAUCAUUUAAAGAAAGCGUAAUAGCUCACUGGUCGAGUCGGCCUGCGCGGAAGAUGUAACGGGGCUAAACCAUGCACCGAAGCUGCGGCAGCGGCACGCAAGUGUUGUUGGGUAGGGGAGCGUUCUGUAAGCCGCUGAAGGUGUGCUGUGAGGCAUGCUGGAGGUAUCAGAAGUGCGAAUGCUGACAUAAGUAACGAUAAAGCGGGUGAAAAGCCCGCUCGCCGGAAGACCAAGGGUUCCUGUCCAACGUUAAUCGGGGCAGGGUGAGUCGACCCCUAAGGCGAGGCCGAAAGGCGUAGUCGAUGGGAAACGGGUUAAUAUUCCCGUACUUGGUGUUACUGCGAAGGGGGGACGGAGAAGGCUAUGUUGGCCGGGCGACGGUUGUCCCGGUUUAAGCGUGUAGGCUGGUUUUCCAGGCAAAUCCGGAAAAUCAAGGCUGAGGCGUGACGACGAGGCACCACGGUGCUGAAGCAACAAAUGCCCUGCUUCCAGGAAAAGCCUCUAAGCGUCAGGUAACAUCAAAUCGUACCCCAAACCGACACAGGUGGUCAGGUAGAGAAUACCAAGGCGCUUGAGAGAACUCGGGUGAAGGAACUAGGCAAAAUGGUGCCGUAACUUCGGGAGAAGGCACGCUGACAUGUAGGUGAAGCGGUUUACCCGUGGAGCUGAAGUCAGUCGAAGAUACCAGCUGGCUGCAACUGUUUAUUAAAAACACAGCACUGUGCAAACACGAAAGUGGACGUAUACGGUGUGACGCCUGCCCGGUGCCGGAAGGUUAAUUGAUGGGGUCAGCGCAAGCGAAGCUCCUGAUCGAAGCCCCGGUAAACGGCGGCCGUAACUAUAACGGUCCUAAGGUAGCGAAAUUCCUUGUCGGGUAAGUUCCGACCUGCACGAAUGGCGUAAUGAUGGCCAGGCUGUCUCCACCCGAGACUCAGUGAAAUUGAACUCGCUGUGAAGAUGCAGUGUACCCGCGGCAAGACGGAAAGACCCCGUGAACCUUUACUAUAGCUUGACACUGAACACUGGUCCUUGAUGUGCAGGAUAGGUGGGAGGCUUUGAAGCGUGGACGCCAGUCUGCGUGGAGCCGUCCUUGAAAUACCACCCUUUAAUGGCUGGUGUUCUAACGUGGGCCCCUGACCGGGGUUGCGGACAGUGUCUGGUGGGUAGUUUGACUGGGGCGGUCUCCUCCCAAAGAGUAACGGAGGAGCACGAAGGUUGGCUAAUCCUGGUCGGACAUCAGGAGGUUAGUGCAAUGGCAUAAGCCAGCUUGACUGCGAGCGUGACGGCGCGAGCAGGUGCGAAAGCAGGUCAUAGUGAUCCGGUGGUUCUGAAUGGAAGGGCCAUCGCUCAACGGAUAAAAGGUACUCCGGGGAUAACAGGCUGAUACCGCCCAAGAGUUCAUAUCGACGGCGGUGUUUGGCACCUCGAUGUCGGCUCAUCACAUCCUGGGGCUGAAGUAGGUCCCAAGGGUAUGGCUGUUCGCCAUUUAAAGUGGUACGCGAGCUGGGUUUAGAACGUCGUGAGACAGUUCGGUCCCUAUCUGCCGUGGGCGCUGGAAGAUUGAGGGGGGCUGCUCCUAGUACGAGAGGACCGGAGUGGACGCAUCACUGGUGUUCGGGUUGUCAUGCCAAUGGCACUGCCCGGUAGCUAAAUGCGGAAGAGAUAAGUGCUGAAAGCAUCUAAGCACGAAACUUGCCCCGAGAUGAAUCUUCCCUGAGACUUUAAGUCUCCUGAAGGAACGUUGAAGACGACGACGUUGAUAGGCCGGGUGUGUAAGCGCAGCGAUGCGUUGAGCUAACCGGUACUAAUGAACCGUGAGGCUUAACCUU
rnacentral:rRNA from 1 species